AUGACCUCAAAUCAGAUGAGACUACCCGCUGAACUUAAGCAUAUCAAUAAGCGGAGGAAAAGAACUAACAAGGAUUCCCUCAGUAACGCCGAGUGAAGAGGGAAGAGCUCAGUUUUGAAAUCUGCAGUCAUCACUGUCGAGUUGUAAUUG
rnacentral:rRNA from 1 species